UCUGUUCCCAGGCCUGUGUGUGUGUUUGUUGCUGUGACAACCCCAAAUGAUGGAUUGGCAACAGGUGUGGGGGAUUUACUCAGAGUUUGCGUGAGGCCUCAUCAACAGUGGAGAGGAUAAAAAGCAAGAGAGAGAGGUGGUGCGUGUGGUUUUUCUCCCUUGUGAAAAGUCGUUUUAUUGGGUGGUAAUAGUUACUGGAGGACGGGUGAAUGAAGAGGACAGUGUUGCUUGAUGAGGGAUUCGAGAACAACAGCAGGAGAGCGAAUUACCCUGUUUGCAUUGGAGAGGAGCUGAGUAACUGAGAACUGAGUCUUGUAAUUGCACACGUUUGACACUGAAUUGGAUGUGGUUUGGAGUGUUUGGAUCACGAUCAUAAAUAUCACUGAGUGGAUUGUAUUGAUUCAUUACCGAUCUCUUACCUCUCCCUCCUCUAUAAAUGGUGAUGUGAACUCUGCCUGUGACUGUGAAGAAAAACAUCUCAGAACAUCCUCAGUGGCAGUGAGGAUUGCGCCCUCCCCCUUCCCUUCGGACAGAAACCCGAAUGUGAGUGCUGGCUUUAAAUUGCACGUCGUGAAGUGAGUUUGCAGUGGCUAAAAUUGAUGUUUUCCCCCACAAUAUAUGUUUGAAGUGGAAUUGUCGUGUGUGUGUGUAAGCUACAUUCCUGUUUGCCAUGCACUCUCUAUGUGUCAUGAGGGCUGACUGUCAAUAGUAAGAGUCCUGCGACACUGAUUUGUUCCAACUGUCUGGAUGUUGAGGAUUUAUCAUCUGGGAUGUGAAUUAACCCCUCUGUUGUGCUAAUAGGAGAAGAGAUGCCCUGUUGAAAUAUUUACUAUCUGCCUCAGAAAAGCUCUGUGCAACCUGUUGACUUCGAGUCUGCUGUAUCCCUGCCAUUCAACUGUAUGGUGAGAGGUGUUCGCUCCUUCCAAUACAUGUGAAUUGUAUACUUGCCUGAAACAUCCAUUCUGUCUGUCUCAGAAGAAGCCCCAUUCAGCCUGUUGACUUCGAGUCUGCUGUAUCCCUGCCAUUCAACUGUAUGAAGAAGCCCAUAUUCAGCCUGUUGACUUCGAGUCUGCUGUAUCCCUGCCAUUCAACUGUAUGAAGAAGCCCCAUUCAGCCUGUUGACUUCGAGCCUGCUGUAUCCCUGCUACUCAUCUGUAUGAGGAAGCCCCAUUCAGCCUGUUGACUUCGAGUCUGCUGUAUCCCUGCUAUUCAUCCGUAUUGUGAGAAGUGUUCGUUCCUUCCAACGCAUGUGAACUGUAUACUUUGUCUGAAGCAUCCAUUCUGUCUGUUUCAGUAGAAACCCUGCACAGCCUGUUGACUUAGAGCUUGUUGCAUCCUUGUGGCCCACCUGUGCUGAGAGAGGUGACUGUCCUUUGUCACGAACGUGAGAGGGGCACGCUUUGUCUGGAAUAUCCACUCUGACGGUGUCAGGAGAAGCCACCUUACUGUAAGACCGUGCACCUGCCGUAUACGUACUUGACUGAUAUCAUUCGCCUCAAAUUCCGUACCUGUGGAAGAAGGAAGGAAGGCUGGAAUUACAUACUUACCGGAGGAGACUUACCGGACCCCUCACUUGCCAAACACAUCCCCACCUCAAGGCUGUGUAUCUGCCGUGUACGGACCUGACCGAUGUCCAUCCGUCCCAAAUUCUGCAUCUGUGAAGAAGGGAAGGGAGUUUGGAAGUAUUUAAUUACCAGAGGAGACUUACCAGACUGCGGGCUUGCCGAUUGUAUUCCCACCUGUGAAAUACCUACUUGACCACCCAUCUGUCCAUCUAUUGCGGGGCCCGCACAGAGGAAGAGGGCGGGAGAGUCCCCGGUCGCUGCAUUGUUUACCUUCAAGCCCUGAGGGUAACAAAGAAGAUUUUAGUUUAGGAUUCCCAAUUUGUUUUUACUUCAAAAUAAAACUUGUUAAAUUUA